GUCAAGCGCUGCACUCCAGAAAGCCCAGCCUUACCCUCUGUCUCUGCUGCUGCUACUGCUGCAAGCGGGAUAGCUGCUCAUCGCAAAACACCAGUUCAGUCCUCAAAACCGAUCCUCGUUACAUGCCCGAGUGUUGCUGCUGUUGCCUUCUCAAACCCGUGAUCUGUAGUGAUUCUCUCCUACCCUUUCCCUCCCCACCUCCGCUGUAGACUGUGAACCGAGCAACGAUUUUUAAAGCAAAUAUUUAUUCGCUUUUCUUUUAGGCAGAGCUGGUGCACGUUCGGGGCUCUGCAUUUUGCGGAAUCACGCUGCGUCCCUAGUUCGCCUCUCCUUUUGACUUUGCGCCAUUUAAUCGCCUAUGGCUUUUGUAUGCCCCUGCCCCUGCGCCCUGGGUAAUGCCUGGCUCCUGUACCUGUCCUCUCCGCUCGGAUCCCGGAGGGAAAAGACAGAGACUCCGGGGGGCUGCCGGGAGAGGGAGGGUGCAGGCGAGCAUGGGGCAGCCAGUGGGAAGAGAACCGGCGAGUGCGUGCAUGUGUGUGUGUGUGUGCGUGUGUGUGUGCGUGUGCGUGUGCGUGUGCGCAGCGAGGGGGAGGCAGGAAUCCAGCUGCUUUCUCUCCCCCUGAGAACACAUGUGGGAAAACAAGUUGUUGCGGUUUCUGUGUGUGCGUGUGUGCAUUCCUCUUUUUAAAUGGUUAUUUUGGAUAAAGAUGCAUACAGGCGAAUGUA